GACACAUUCGCAUUUGUGAAAGGAACACCUCCUCUUUCCAGUAGUAGCACGCUGAAGUUUUGUGACAAUGUAGCCGCCAAUGGACAACCGGCGGUACCACCGCCGACGAUUAUGUAAUCGUAACCACCCUUUCUUUCAUGGCCAUCACGAUAGAACGAGCUUGCGCGCUUGAUGAACGGGGCAAAGAAGAUGAGAUGAACUCAGAAACCAGUGAUUCGAUGCUCUCUAAUCCUAGAAAGUUGAACCUCAACUACAAUAGAUGUCGUUCUGUUUUUUUUUUUUUUUUUUUCUAUUAGAAAUGAAUGGAAACAGAAUUUUGUAUGAAGUAGCUGCAUUAUAAUGGAAGGUAUCAGAAGAACCAACCUUGACAAGAAGAGAGGAGGUGUAAGAGAGUGAAGAGAACAAGGAAGAGAAAGAGCUUGACUGUCCCAGCCAACGCCAUUGAUUUGCAGAAAAGGAAAAAGGCAGUCUCAGUAACAACGGAAGCUGCUUCUUCCAAACUUUUGGAGUUUUGGAUGGCUGUUCGUGGAUCGUUGGAUGAAGACUUAUGUGAUUUGAUCAUGGCCUUUCAUCAAUACUAGAAGACAGCUCAUUCACCGGUCUUCGAUUUAACUGUAUGGGUACGUAUAUUUAUUGCUUUGGUAGCUACCAGAUGAUAUGGUCUACUAGUUUAAGUGAUUUAAGGGAAAGCCAUUAUGAUAUUCAUAUUCUAUAAUCUUCAGAAUUAUAGCCGUAGGGGAUAUGUUUUGGAGCAGAAAAGGCUAAGCUGAAGAGAGGAAAUUGGGUUCUUGAAGAGUGAAGUGUUGGUUAUAUCAGUUUAUGGAAUCAAAUAUCUUCUGUUUAAGAAAUUAGAGCCUCUUGACAUUAAUAACAAUAGAAAACAAGAAAUCACUCGUUCUAUUUAUUUAUUUAUUAUGUCUCAUUGUCAUAUCGUUAGAAGGAAACAGCUUGAUUUAGUCGUAUUGAACUCGACUAAAUUUAUUAACAUUGGAAGAAUAAAACUGACCAUUGACUACUUUUCUAUCAGAGAUUUGUUGGAAGAAAAAAAAGUACACCUUUCGCGGUCCGUUGACGUAAAUUGAAAUUUAUAUAAAUUAAUCGAUUUUAAAAUUUAGAAUUUAAGAGAUGUUAAAAUUUCGAGGAUUUAUUAGACACAUAAUUUAAGGAAUUUUAGGAACCAACACAUAAUUUAAAAUUUCUAAAGCUUAUUAAACUUUUUUAAUAAUUGAGAAAUCAAAUAGGCUGAAAUCGAAAAAUUUAUGGACUAAAUUUGUAACCCAGCCAUUUCUUUCUAUUGCAAUCAUGUUUAGAUGAAGUUGGACAUUUUGACUAAUAAGCUCUUUAGCUUCUUCGAUCUUUUUGAUUAAAGUAUCAUUUUGAUCCAUGUAUUUUCAUACUCAUUCCAUUUUUGUUACUACUUGUAAGUGUUUAGUUCUAGUCCCACUCUCAAUAAAUCCUAAAUUUAGUUCCUAUGGCUAGUCCCGGUUGAUUUUUUUUCAAAAACUUGUUAGUUUUUAUUAUCAGUUAACGUUUUCACUGUAAAAUUGAAAACAUUUUCAAAUACAGAACCAAAAAUAGUAUUGUAGCGAAUUAAGCCUAAUUUUUUUCUUCCUGAGAAGAGAGGCAUUGGACUAUCUUGCCAAAUUAGUUGCUUCCAUAUGGAUUAUAAUAUCGAAAGUUGGAUUAGUUGAGAAAAUAAAUUUCACGAGUAACCUGACAAAGGGUGCAGAUGGAUCAGCUUCAUUCAAUCCUGGAAGUUCAGGUUAGUCAAAUUUUCCUAUCAACUAUUCUCAUGAAUGUUUUGGUGAGGUGGUACUGAAAUUCUAAACAUUUCUUGCUCUGUUUUUUUUCUUCAUCUUUUUCAUUCUUGGGAGGAAAUAUACAGUGUAAGUGUCAUUUGUUAUGUAUGUUUGAAUUAAUGAGUUUACAAUUAGGGAUGUUCUCCAGCGAAGCGAGGAGGCAGGAGUGGUUUUACUGUCAUUAUUCCCACCUUCCAUUUAACUUUUCGUCCCAACUACAUUUUCAAAAUUUUGUAAAUAACGAAUCUCUGCAAAAAAUUAUUCUCCACCUUUUUUUUUUUCUUUGUAUAAAUCAAUUUAAUACAAAAUGAUUUCUUUUUUUAACAAAACCUUCAUUUAAAUGGCUAAUUCCCAAUAAAAAUUUUCCGAUAAAUUUUCUUCGGUAGUCAGUGAUGAAGACUUGGGUAACAUUUACUUGAUUGAUUUCUUUUUUUCCGUUUCGUUUCUUUACAGGUAACAUUUUAUUUGAUUGAGUUUAUUUUAUGUUUAGCAUGCACAUGCAUAUAUGUGUGUAUGCAUGUGCAUAGGUAACCUUUCAUUUAUUCUCAAUGGAAGGUCACAUGUUGAUAUACUCAAAUACUGAGCGAUAUUAUUCAAUUUAAAAUUCAAACAUAUAGAAUAUCUUAGUCAUUAGACAAAAAUUACAUUAAAUUCAAAUAUGAAGUCUCAAAUGGUUUAAAUUGACAUAUACAUAGAACGAAGUAGGGACAGGUGAUGGUGCCGUUGAGGUCAGUGAACUUUUUUUCCCACCCAUCCCAUUUUCCGUUUUGCUCCUAAACAGGGAUUCUUUUAUCAGAGAAAAAGGAAAUACAACCCUUACCAUUUAUUAGGUUUUUUUUUUAUUACAAUCAUUAUGAUUUUUGCGAGAAUGCAUAAAAGAGGCCAGAAAAUGUGUACCAAAAUUGUUGAAAAUACUUGUGAAUAUAACAAAAUUUUAGUAUUUCUUAGUUUGAUAGAUAGUUCAGAUAGUUUUUUAGAAAAAAUAAAUAGUUGAUAAAUUUUAGUUGUGAUUAGUGGUAAUAUAUCUACGAGCCAAUGGGUUGUUGAUUAUUAUUCCUAUUUUUUCAAAAAACUUGAAUUCCUUCUACAACGCAAAUGUAGAGCAAUCGAGUUUGUUUUUUGUUUUUUUUGUUUUUUUUGUUUUUUUUUUUUGUCUUCUACGUCCCAACAGACCUAAGCAUUUGAAAUCUAUUUCAAUGCAAGCCAAAUAUAACAUUGGUUCAAGCUUUCCCCAUUUUAGGUGGCACAUUUCAAACCGUCUACACUACCAAUGGGUCCUAACAGCUCUUAAUUAAAGGUAUGUAUUACCAAUAUAUAUCUGGUCCAACCCUGAAAACAAUGCCAUAUUUUUUGUAACACAAAAGGAUUACAAACUAGAGGUCCUGGUGGGAGGGAACCCAGCCAAGGAUUUUUAAUACAUGAACACAUCUGAAUUUAUAUUGAUUGAAAACAAAACACAAUACGGACGAAGGUUUAUGAAGGACACUUCAACUUGAGGAGGUAUUUUUCUUUUAAAAAACUCUAUAGUUUCUUUCCAAUCAAUGAAAACACAGAAAGUCUUAAAUGCCGCACUUCCUAAGAACGCUUUUUAAGGACCACCACCUCAAUGUGCUUAAUAUAACCAUUCUUCAAUGUUCUUGGGAAGGGUAUGCAUUGAAAUUUUAAAUAAAUACACCUAACCCUUUGUAGAAAACUGUUAAUGUAGGAAUAAAUGGUCGAUGCUCUCUGGAUUCUUUCUCGAGUGUCUAAAUUUCUAUAGAUAAGGGAACAUAUAGAAGUUAGAACCCAUUUUGGAUUCGUUUUGUACUAACAUUCAAUACUGAACGUUUGUUCCACAAGAGGUGACAUUAAAAAACAUUAGUGUAGUCUUUCAAUAGUCUCUCAUUCUGUAUUGCUUAUUGAUUAUGCUUUUCAGGAUAUUUUUAUUAAUUGGAGCUCUUUUAUAGAUCUAGUUUUUAUCUUUAUUUUCCCUUUUUCCUCAUUUGGAGCUUGUCAUUUUUUAACUCUAUUUUUUCCUUGCUGUUAUAUAACUGUCUUAAACAUAUUAGAUGAAAAUCCUUCUGGUUUCUCAAAUUCUUUUGAAGAAUAUCAUCAUUAUGGAAUCUGGAGAUUGUUUAUUAAAAUCUUGUUAAGGUUAAAACAGUCCACUGUUCAUUACCCAUUUUUCAUCUGAAUUCCCAAGGAAAAGAAAAAAAAAAAAGUUUCUUCUACUUGUGAGCUGCAUUUAUUUUGACAAACAGAGCUAGCCUGUCUCAUUUAAAUCUCAUCCACACUGCACAUGAAAACCCGCUGUAUAGCUGUAAAUUCAUAGGUGGUAGUAAUUCAUACCACUUGAUCUUAAUCUUCCACAAUGUUGUAGAAUAUUUUUAUAUUCUAUUUUUUGUGACGGAGUCGCGAAGCAAUUAGCUUGUACACACUUUAACUAUAGAAGUUACACUUAUUGUUAUUAUUUUUAGUCAUGAAAAGAGCUUAUAGAAGUUAAAUCCUAUAUAGAAACUAUCUUAAUUUCAAGCUUAUUCCCUUUAUACUUUUUGUUAUUAUUUUUAAUUGACCCAUCUUGAAUUACUAUAUCUUUUUGGUUCAACUCUUGUGAGUUGGGAAGUUGAAUUGAUGACCUUUGAAAUCGAUUGGUGUCUCAGUAAUAUACUCAAAUAGGUGAUUUAAGUCAAUUAACUUAGGUUAUUUCAUCCCACACCAUCCAUAUAGAAUGUAAGCACAAGAGCAAAGAAAGUGGUUGAAUCCCAUUAAAUAACUUUCACCCAACUGAUGAAAAAUGUCAUCUUCCACCUCACAACAAAGCAAUUGCAAUAAUUGCACCUUCCUGAAAUUAAACGUGGCCUGUUUGGAAACCAAAAUCUAAGAAGACCUACAACCACAACAAGUUAGUUAUUACAAUCAGGUUAUUAAAGUUGGAUUAUAAUAGUUUAUCUUUAGGGUGUAAAUUAUUUUAAUUUGGAUAAUAUGGAUGACAAUAUGACAAUAGUAUAUGAUGUAAACUAUAAGCUACUAUAGUUUACACAAAGAAAAAAAAAUUGAAGAUAAAAUAGUAAAAAAUUGAAAGUGGUUAUUAUAGUCUUUAGACUGUUCUUGCUCCAAACAACAACAUUUCAUAGGUUCAUAGGUCAAGAAAUCAAUGAUGAUAGCCAUUCAACUAAAUCUUCUGCAUGCAUUCAUUAAUAAGCAUCAAAGGAAACAUUUGUGCAGAGGCCAUGGCCAUGCUUUUGGUGGAAAAUUUCUCAUAAUGUUACUUAAUAUUUGAGUUGUUAGCCACAUGUGCUUUGUUCAUAUUUUAUAGCAAUAUUUCAUCCUAAUGAGUGGAUUGAUUGGCAAAGGAAAUUCCAAUUCUUUUAUAGUAUUCAUUCCUAUUUAAUCAAAGAUGGUAUUUAUUCCUACGUGCUAAAAUUUCCCUCGGUAGAACUGCCAUUAAGUAGACUAGAAGACCUCAGUACAAACAGAACCAUAGAAUAUUGUUUUGGAAAUACAGUGUUGAAGAAUAGCCUACCACCAUUUGGGGGAUUUGCCAUGAUAGAAAUUUGAUUGGUGGUGAUAUUCACUGUUGAAUUGACCAAUACAUGUUUGUUUGUUUCUUGCUUUCAUAACAUUUGGUUUGCAUAACUAUGGCUGGGGCUUGAACAUUAAAUACAUCACCAAACUUUCUUUUUCUUUGUUUGUUUGCUUUCUACAUAAGCUAAAUCUUGCUCCCUAAUAAAUCUUUUAAGAGCAAUUGCUUGGUCAAUUUUUAUAUGUACUAUUUUUCUUUUGUACCUUUUGAAAUAGUUGUCUUGUGAACCUACUAUGCCAUUGGGUUGAAUUCUUUGGAACAAUGGUCCACUCUUUUUCUUUUUCUUCCACUUUUUUAUUGACCAGAUAAACUUUGAAGUCAAAUGAUGAAAAAUUCUGAGAAAAUUGAGGUACUUGAACUCUCUUUAUAUUCUAUUAAUAUUCUACUAAUACCGGAAUGAUAGUCUGAGAAGCAAAUUGGAAGCUCAAGAAACAAUCAUUUUCCAGUGUCUUUCUUAGAGGGCUGUGUUGGUCUCUAUGCAUAUAGGUGAGAAGGGUUUGAAAUCAUAAGUAUAGAUUUUUUUCUUUUUGGGUAUAACACUUUUUUUCAACAAGGAAGAGUAUGGAUGAAGUAUCUUACUCUUCUAGGAGCUUCCCGAAUGAAUAAAGCAUUCAAUGUGGUUCAUAGCCUAUUGGUUCAGAUUUCAGUGUUUGUGUAGCUAGGGUGGUUGAGAUGGAAAAUUGAAAGAAUAUUUAUAUAAUCAUUUGGGUUGGAAUUUAAAAUUUGAAAAAAGUGGAAGAGAGAGUGUCUCCUCCAUUACAGCCCUUUUCAUCUAUAUUUUGAAGUUGGUAUAUUAAAGAUAAAGAUUACAAUGCUUCCAUGCCUCCUUAAUUAAUGGUUGGGCCAUCAAAAAGGUCAUAAAAGAACAGAAAUUGAGCUCCACAAGAAUAAGACAACUCUCUCCAAUUAAUGAUAGCCAUUAGCAAAAGCCAAAGCCAGAGCCAUAGAGACAUAUUUUAAGCUCUUCCACAGAAAAUGUAAGGCAGUGGGAACGCAACGUGUUUGGUGAAGAGUUAAUCUUUGAUUCUUUCCAUUCCAUAGUGCAUUGUUCACUGAAUUUUUGCCUUUUGUCGUUUUGAUUUCUAUAUUAAGCACUAAUCUUGAUUCUUGGGUAACUAACAAAGUAGUCGAUCUGAUCCAAUCACAUGAAAUUAUCUCUCUUAUUUAUUUAUUUAUUUAUUAUAUUACUAUUUUAAUUUUAUGUUAGAUGUUUAUUAUUUUAAAUGUAAAUAAAAGUAUAUCCAUUUAAAAGCUAUUCUUUAAAUUUUUUAACCACCUUCUCUAACUUGAUCUUUCAUGUGUUUUGAUAAUUACCCUUGUUUGGUGUUUCAAUGUUUGUAGCAAUUAGAUAUUAUAGUUGGAUCUUAUAAUUAGAUAUUAUAGUUAGAUCUUAUCAUUAUGAUUAUAAAAUCUCUCUCGUAAGCAUUGGAUUGAAUUCAAAAUUUUCAUUUUUUUCAUGUUGGGUUGUAUCUUGGAUUGGGUUGAAAUAUUCAUUUCAAUCAAACCCAACUCAACCUAAAUUAAUUAUAUAUUUUUUUUUUAUUAAUUGAAAAAAACGAUGUAAAAAAAUGUUGAUUGAUACUUAGGAAAGAAAAGACAACCCAAACUAACCCAUAUUUUAAGAAUUUGAUUGGAUUGAAAAUACUAUUCGAAUUGUCAACCUAAUCAACCUGAAAAAAUAAGUUGGAUUGAAAAUGUCCUCCAACCCUACCUAAUAAUCUAAUAGAAUAGAAUUGGAAAAUAACCUUUAGUUUUACUUUCAUUGAAAAAAUUAAUUUUUGUUACUAAAAUUCGAGUUAAAGCUUUCGUUUAUAAACUGUGAAAAGUCUAGUAAAUAAAAAAGAAAAAAAGAAAAAAAAAUUAACAUAAAAUCUAAAAAUAAGAAAAUAAUUAUCCAACAAAAACUAAAGAGUAGGGUUACACUGAAAUCAUAAUACCAACCUUUUGGGGGCAUCACAUAAAAUUGGAAUCGGAAUAAUUGAAGAGGGAGACGUUUGAGAGACUAUAAAUUAAGGAUGAAAAGAUAUACUCACAAUCAAUGUUACAACUUUCAUAAGACAAAAUCAAAGGCGAAAAUAAAAGAGAAAAAAAAAAAAA